rnacentral:lncRNA from 1 species
CCGUCUGAAGAUUGUACCUGUAUCAGUGGCCAUGUAACCUUGUUGAUUCAUUAAAGGUUUUAUGGCUAAGUGUUUGGACAAGGGAUAUCAUUCCCGUUGAGGAUUUCGCUUAGUGGUAGAAUGAUUUCUUGGGAUAGCGGUAGAGCGCCUUUUGGGGGUUGAGGUAGAGCGCUCCCUAGAUGUAGUGGUAGAGCGCUCCCUGGGCGUAGUGGUAGAACGCCCUUUGGGGGUCGUGGUAGAGCGCCCUAUGAGGGUCGAUGGCCUUGCAUCGGUGUGCCGUCAUCUGCCUUGCAUGUCCUUGAGGGUGUCUACUUCUACCAACCUAUAUCAAUAGCCCCUCUAUCCCUUGUCGGUGUUUUCGGCAAGGGGUAGCAAUUUUAGAUUGGUUUGAAAUUAAUUUUUUUUUUAUUUUUUUUAAAUAAAGAGAAAGGAAUAGUUCGUAUUAGCGAAUCGAACUAUAUAAACACGAUCGAGUGGUAAUUCUACUGUACACAUGGAUCCUCACUAAUGGCCUUAAUAUUGGAGGGAGAUUUCCCUCCAAUCCCCCCCCCCCCCAAAAUUUGAAUUCUAGUGUUAUAAAAGGGGGGUAAUUCUCAUUCUAGAAAAUUACUUUCAUUUUCUCUCAACCUCCUAGGCUUCCUCUCUUCUAAGGUAAUUUCCUCUCCUUAUUUAAAUCCAAGGACUUGCUUUAAAUUUCUUCUUGGUCGAAUCAUUUUUGUUGUCAUGUAUAAAACUAUCCUUUCUUCUCCUUCCAAUGAAAAAAGUGAUGGGGGGUAUAGUGAUUCGACCGGACUUUCGUUGGAGGGUGCCGGAGGGGGUCCGACCGACCCACGGGGGGGUCGGUCGCCGGCCAACGGGGUUGGUUGCUCGACCAGCCCCGCUGGUCGACCAGCUGGUCGACUUACGGCCAGCCCGAAGGCUGGCCAUCUCCCGCCAUCCAUUGAUUCUCGUGGUUUGUCCGGUCCUUCGAUCCGCCCUUGUAGUGACUCUCCCCCUUCAUCCGGCAAAUCCCUUUAUGAUAGUGAUAGUGAAACUCAUUCAAUUGACUCUCAGCCAUUUGUUCCAAAUCUCCUAAAGAGACACAUUGGUUCUUCUAAAUCUCCAGGCAAAAAAUUGGAAAUCGGGCGCGACCCGGCCGGUGAGGUUGUCCCCCUAGAUAUCCCAAAAAGUUAUAGUCUCUACAAUCCGCCACUUAAGUUAGAAAAAUGUCUAGGAAAGUAUGACCGGGUUGAUGAUUACGUCUAUAGAGCCCCUGGUCCUAAAGAAAGGCUCCCCGGGUCCGACCCCCGUGAGAUAGCCAUGUACAAGGAUGUUAUGGACGGGGGUUUUCGGUUCCCCAUUCAUCCCUUUUUUGUGUCGAUUUUCAACGAGUUCCACCUUACUCCUAG